rnacentral:rRNA from 1 species
ACGGAAGGCAGCAGUGGGGAAUAUUGGGCAAUGGGCGAAAGCCUGACCCAGCGACGCCGCGUGAAGGAAGAAGGCUUUCGGGUUGUAAACUUCUUUUACCAGGGACGAAGAAAGUGACGGUACCUGGAGAAAAAGCUACGGCUAACUACGUGCCAGCAGCCGCGGUAAUACGUAGGUAGCAAGCGUUGUCCGGAUUUACUGGGUGUAAAGGGCGUGUAGGCGGAGAUGCAAGUCAGGAGUGAAAUCUAUGGGCUUAACCCAUAAACUACUUUUGAAACUGCAUCCCUUGAGUAUCGGAGAGGCAGGCGGAAUUCCUAGUGUAGCGGUGAAAUGCGUAGAUAUUAGGAGGAACACCAGUGGCGAAGGCGGCCUGCUGGACGACAACUGACGCUGAGGCGCGAAAGCGUGGGUAGCAAACAGGAUUAGAUACCCUGGUA